rnacentral:rRNA from 1 species
ACGGCAGCGCGGGGGCAACCCUGGCGGCGAGUGGCGAACGGGUGAGUAAUGUAUCGGAACGUAUCCUGUAAUGGGGGAUAACCAGUCGAAAGAUUGGGUAAUACCGCAUACGCACGAGAAUGGAAAGUAGGGGAUCGCAAGACCUUACGUUAUAGGAGCGGCCGAUAUCUGAUUAGCUAGUUGGUGGGGUAAAGGCCUACCAAGGCGACGAUCAGUAGCAGGUCUGAGAGGAUGAUCUGCCACACUGGGACUGAGACACGGCCCAGACUCCUACGGGAGGCAGCAGUGGGGAAUUUUGGACAAUGGGCGAAAGCCUGAUCCAGCCAUGCCGCGUGCGGGAAGAAGGCCUUCGGGUUGUAAACCGCUUUAGUCCGGGAAAAAGGGAUGCUUGGUUAAUACCCAGGUGUUUUGAUGGUACUGGAAGAAUAAGCACCGGCUAACUACGUGCCAGCAGCCGCGGUAAU